GUGGGGAAUUUUGGACAAUGGGGGCAACCCUGAUCCAGCCAUGCCGCGUGCGGGAAGAAGGCCUUCGGGUUGUAAACCGCUUUUAUCCGGAAAGAAGGAGUCAAGGCUAAUACCCUUGAUGACAGACGGUACCGGAGGAAUAAGCACCGGCUAACUACGUGCCAGCAGCCGCGGUAAUACGUAGGGUGCGAGCGUUAAUCGGAAUUACUGGGCGUAAAGCGUGCGCAGGCGGUUCGUUAAGUCAGCUGUGAAAGCCCCGGGCUCAACCUGGGAACUGCGGUUGAAACUGGCGAACUAGAAUCUGGCAGAGGGGGGUGGAAUUCCACGUGUAGCAGUGAAAUGCGUAGAGAUGUGGAGGAACACCGAUGGCGAAGGCAGCCCCCUGGGCUGAGAUUGACGCUCAGGCACGAAAGCGUGGGGAGCAAACAGGAUUAGAAACCCGAGUAGUCC
rnacentral:rRNA from 1 species